rnacentral:rRNA from 1 species
GAUGAACGCUAGCGGCAGGCUUAAUACAUGCACGUCGAGGGGGCAGCAAUGUCACCGGCGAACGGGUGCGUAGCGCGUAUGCAACCUACCUACAUAAGGGGGCUAGUCCUAAGAAACUGGGAUCAACCCCGCAUAAUAUAAGCUACCGCAUCGUAGGUUAUUUAAAUCUUUCUCGGAUGUAGAUGGGCAUGCGUAGGCUUAGCCAGUUGGUAAGGUAACGGGUUACCAAGGCUACGAUCCGUAGGGGCGCUGGGAGGCGUAGCCCCCACACUGGGUCUCAGGUACGGGCCAGACUCCUACGGGAGGCAGCAGUAGGGAAUAGUGGGCAAUGGAGGCAACUCUGACCCAGCCAUGCCGCGUGCAGGAAGACGGUCCUCUGGAUUGUAAUCUGCUUUUGCAUCGGAAGGAUGUGCUUCGUGCGAGGAGCAAUGACGGUACCAUUAGACUGAGACACGGCUAACUACGUGCCAGCAGCCGCUGUAA